GACGAACGCAGGCGGCGUGCUUAACACAUGCAAGUCGAACGUGCUUUUUGUGGAAAUUCUCUCGGGAAUGGAAAUGAAAUGAAAGUGGCGAACGGGUGAGUAACACGUGAGCAACCUACCUUACACAGGGGGAUAGCCGUUGGAAACGACGAUUAAUACCGCAUGAGACCACAGAAUCGCAUGACAUAGGGGUCAAAGAUUUAUCGGUGUAAGAAGGGCUCGCGUCUGAUUAGCUAGUUGGAAGGGUAAAGGCCUACCAAGGCGACGAUCAGUAGCCGGUCUGAGAGGAUGAACGGCCACAUUGGAACUGAGACACGGUCCAAACUCCUACGGGAGGCAGCAGUGGGGAAUAUUGCACAAUGGGGGGAACCCUGAUGCAGCGACGCCGCGUGAGCGAAGAAGGUUUUCGAAUCGUAAAGCUCUGUCCUAUGAGAAGAUAAUGACGGUAUCAUAGGAGGAAGCCCCGGCUAAAUACGUGCCAGCAGCCGCGGUAAUACGUAUGGGGCGAGCGUUGUCCGGAAUUAUUGGGCGUAAAGGGUACGUAGGCGGUUUUUUAAGUCAGGUGUGAAAGCGUGAGGCUUAACCUCAUUAAGCACUUGAAACUGGAAGACUUGAGUGAAGGAGAGGAAAGUGGAAUUCCUAGUGUAGCGGUGAAAUGCGUAGAUAUUAGGAGGAAUACCGGUGGCGAAGGCGACUUUCUGGACUUUUACUGACGCUCAGGUACGAAAGCGUGGGGAGCAAACAGG
rnacentral:rRNA from 1 species